GUGGGUAAUGGCUGGGGCAGGCUGGGUCAGGUGCAGCACGUUGCAGAUGCCAAGGCCAAUGCCAAUGCCAAUGCUGAUGCUGAUGCUGAUGCUGAUGCUGAUGCUGAUGCUGAUGCUGAUGUUGAUGUUGGAGUUGGAGUUGGAGUUGGAGUUGGAGUUGGAGCUAGAGCUAGAGCUAGAGCAGUCACAGGCUCUGAGAGUGGUUUGCAGCAAAAGAUCCCUGCAGGAACUGGGUGAGGGAAAAGAAAAUGGAUAUCAAAGUAAGAGCAUACAUGACAUGGAGUCAGCAGCAGGAUGGAUGGCAAUGGCAAUGGAGCCCUGUAUGGAACUCACAGCCCACCCCAAAAUCCAAGUGCUUUCUGCAGAACAUCUCUUAAAGGCUUGGUUCUCAGCCUCUCCCCAUCCUGGCCAGACAAGAAACAGCAUGAGCCUAUUCCAGUUUUGGCAGUGCUACGAAUGGAUCGGAUUCACACUGCUCCAGCCCAAGAAUGCAUCGUCUCCAUCCAAGAGCUUUAGCUGCCCAUUCCAGAGCUGUUUGUGGAUGUGUCUUCCCACCAGAGGAACCUUCAGCAGGAGAAGACAGACUUUCUGACCUUUGUAUCCGAAAAGAUAUGAUUGCACCUUGGUUUUGGGUGUCACAUAGGACACUAUGGCUUUCAAAGUGUGACUUAAACUGGCUUUGUAAUAUAAACGCCUUGAUCCCACGGAAAGAGCUCGGGACCAUUUACAGGCUAGGUGGCCUCUGAACAGGAUAGAUAAUCCCAAAUAUCCAUCUCCUGGCUAUUUUGAACAACCAGUGGAUUGGUGCCCCUCAUUCAAACUGUGCUUUCCAGCCCCAUAGGUCCGUUUUGGGCCAGAGUCCUUCACAGGCAGCUUUUUAAACCCCAUGUUUGUCUUAUAAGCUACACUGGAUAUGAUUAAUUUGACUCUGUGCCAUCCCCUUCUCUCAUUUACCCCUUACUUCAGGGAGCUUUGGGGCACAUGUUAGCAUCGGGAUGUUGUGGGUUUGAGGCUCCUGCUAGUGGCUUGCCUGACUUUGUCUGAACCGAAAGCUAAUUUUCAUCCUGUGGUUAAAACCCAUCAGCACCUGCACAACAGCAAAACCUGAGAGUCCUAGUGGGUCAGAACCACGAGUACAAGCACGCAAGGUCCUGCUCCAGAGGAGGGCUUUGUCUUUCAAGCCAGCAAAGCCCUCUGAAUGUAUUCCCUCCUGCAACCCGAGGCACCAGCCAAUUCCCAUCCCCAUGCAGCCAUCUGGGGUGGAAGGAGUGCUGCUGCACCAACAAAGUGUAAUGCUGCUCCGUGCUCGCAUCGCUCAGGGCUGCGUGUGAGCCCUCGGUGCUGAAGUGAGAGCCAGAGGGGCUCCUCCACCCCCUGCACUGACAAUCCUGCAUUUAGCUCUCGCCCAGCACACUUUGUGAAGCACUGAAAAGCAUAAAAGCAGUGGUGAGGCAUAUCCCAGCCUGACCUCAUCCUCGCAGGGCCCCGUGGACUUGCUCCCUUUCCCUCUGCCAUGAAAGCUGGC
rnacentral:lncRNA from 1 species